rnacentral:tRNA from 1 species
CAAAUUAAAGCUUUUAUAGUUUUUCAUUUACAUUGAAAAGAGUCUUAUUUUUAGAUAAUUUGA